rnacentral:snoRNA from 1 species
AAAUUGUGAUGUGGGCACUUUCUCAACAAGUCCUUGAAUCUUUCCCAAGCUUCAUAUAAAAUUUCUUGAUCAUGGUGGACAAAAGUCAUUAUAUCAUUGCACAGUUU